GAUGAACGCUGGCGGCGUGCCUAACACAUGCAAGUCGAGCGAUUCUCUCCGGAGAAUAGCGGCGGACGCGUGAGUAACGCGUGGGUAACCUGCCCUGUACACACGGAUAACAUACCGGAAGGUAUGCUAAUACGGGAUAGUAUAAGAAAUUCGCAUGUUUUUCUUAUCAAAGCUCCGGCGGUACAGGAUGGACCCGCGUCUGAUUAGCUAGUUGGUGAGGUAACGGCUCACCAAGGCGACGAUCAGUAGCCGACCUGAGAGGGUGAUCGGCCACAUUGGAACUGAGACACGGCCCAAAAUCCUACGGGAGGCAGCAGUGGGGAAUAUUGCACAAUGGGCGAAAGCCUGAUGCAGCAACGCCGCGUGAGCGAUGAAGGCCUUCGGGUCGUAAAGCCCUGUCCUCAAGGAAGAUAAUGACGGUACUUGAGGAGGAAGCCCCGGCUAACUACGUGCCAGCAGCCGCCGCAG
rnacentral:rRNA from 1 species